rnacentral:rRNA from 1 species
UACGUAGGGGGCAAGCGUUGUCCGGAAUCAUUGGGCGUAAAGCGCGUGUAGGCGGCUCGGUAAGUCCGCUCUGAAAGCCCGGGGCUCAACCCCGGGAGGCGGGUGGAUACUGCUGAGCUGAGUCCGGAAGAGGAGUGUGGAAUUCCUGGUGUAGCGGUGAAAUGCGUAGAUAUCUGGAGGAACACCGGUGGCGAAGGCGGCAUCCUGGACCGGUAUUGACACUGAUGCGCGAAAGCCAGGGGAGCAAACGGG